rfam:Gossypium hirsutum cultivar TM-1 chromosome 22, whole genome shotgun sequence
UGUUAAAAAUUUCAUCCAUUUGUAAUGUCAAAAGCUGGCGUGGUUGACGGAAUAACUAAACAGUGACAUGCCACGUGUACCUCAUACUGACGUACAAGAACCAAUUUGUAAUAGCAUAAAUGGAUGAAAUUUUUAACA